GGGUUGUGAGGUUAAGCGACCAAGCGUACACGGUGGAUGCCCUGGCAGUCAGAGGCGAUGAAGGACGUGCUAAUCUGCGAAAAGCGCCGGUAAGGUGAUAUGAACCGUUAUAACCGGCGAUGUCCGAAUGGGGAAACCCAGUGUGAUUCGUCACACUAUCAUUAACUGAAUCCAUAGGUUAAUGAGGCGAACCGGGGGAACUGAAACAUCUAAGUACCCCGAGGAAAAGAAAUCAACCGAGAUUCCCCCAGUAGCGGCGAGCGAACGGGGAGGAGCCCAGAGCCUGAAUCAGCAUGUGUGUUAGUGGAAGCGUCUGGAAAGGCGCGCGAUACAGGGUGAGAGCCCCGUACACAAAAGCGCACGUGCUGUGAGCUCGAUGAGUAGGGCGGGACACGUGGUAUCCUGUCUGAAUAUGGGGGGACCAUCCUCCAAGGCUAAAUACUCCUGACUGACCGAUAGUGAACCAGUACCGUGAGGGAAAGGCGAAAAGAACCCCGGCGAGGGGAGUGAAACAGAACCUGAAACCGUGUACGUACAAGCAGUGGGAGCCCCACCACUAAGCCAGUGGUGAACUCCACAUACGCAUCCUUUGCUGAGGAUACGGUUAACGGAGCGAAAGCGACGUUCAACCGCAAAAGAAGCAGAGGGGGCUUAGUGGUGGGGUGACUGCGUACCUUUUGUAUAAUGGGUCAGCGACUUAUAUUCUGUAGCAAGGUUAACCGCAUAGGGGAGCCGGAGGGAAACCGAGUCUUAAUUGGGCGUUAAGUUGCAGGGUAUAGACCCGAAACCCGGUGAUCUAGCCAUGGGCAGGUUGAAGGUUGGGUAACACUAACUGGAGGACCGAACCGACUAAUGUUGAAAAAUUAGCGGAUGACCUGUGGCUGGGGGUGAAAGGCCAAUCAAACCGGGAGAUAGCUGGUUCUCCCCGAAAGCUAUUUAGGUAGCGCCUCGUGAAUUCAUCUCCGGGGGUAGAGCACUGUUUCGGCCAGGGGGCCAUCCCGGCUUACCAAUCCGAUGCAAACUGCGAAUACCGGAGAAUGUUAUCACGGGAGACACACGGCGGGUGCUAACGUCCGUCGUGAAGAGGGAAACAACCCAGACCGCCAGCUAAGGUCCCAAAGUCAUGGUUAAGUGGGAAACGAUGUGGGAAGGCCCAGACAGCCAGGAUGUUGGCUUAGAAGCAGCCAUCAUUUAAAGAAAGCGUAAUAGCUCACUGGUCGAGUCGGCCUGCGCGGAAGAUGUAACGGGGCUAAACCAUGCACCGAAGCUGCGGCAGCGAACGUAUCACCCAAGACAACUUUACACAGUUGACGACUGACGGAGCGAAGCGACGUCAAAGCGUUUUACAACGUCGAGUUGGCUUAGGGAUACGUUCGUUGGGUAGGGGAGCGUUCUGUAAGCCGUUGAAGGUGUGUCGUGAGGCAUGCUGGAGGUAUCAGAAGUGCGAAUGCUGACAUAAGUAACGAUAAAGCGGGUGAAAAGCCCGCUCGCCGGAAGACCAAGGGUUCCUGUCCAACGUUAAUCGGGGCAGGGUGAGUCGACCCCUAAGGCGAGGCCGAAAGGCGUAGUCGAUGGGAAACGGGUUAAUAUUCCCGUACUUGGUGUUACUGCGAAGGGGGGACGGAGAAGGCUAUGUUGGCCGGGCGACGGUUGUCCCGGUUUAAGCGUGCAGGUGUGUGUUCCAGGUAAAUCCGGUUCACUUUAACACUGAGGCGUGAUGACGAGGCACCACGGUGCUGAAGCAACAAAUGCCCUGCUUCCAGGAAAAGCCUCUAAGCCUCAGGUAACAUCAAAUCGUACCCCAAACCGACACAGGUGGUCAGGUAGAGAAUACCAAGGCGCUUGAGAGAACUCGGGUGAAGGAACUAGGCAAAAUGGUGCCGUAACUUCGGGAGAAGGCACGCUGACACGUAGGUGAAGUGGUUUACCCAUGGAGCUGAAGUCAGUCGAAGAUACCAGCUGGCUGCAACUGUUUAUUAAAAACACAGCACUGUGCAAACACGAAAGUGGACGUAUACGGUGUGACGCCUGCCCGGUGCCGGAAGGUUAAUUGAUGGGGUCAGCGCAAGCGAAGCUCCUGAUCGAAGCCCCGGUAAACGGCGGCCGUAACUAUAACGGUCCUAAGGUAGCGAAAUUCCUUGUCGGGUAAGUUCCGACCUGCACGAAUGGCGUAAUGAUGGCCAGGCUGUCUCCACCCGGGACUCAGUGAAAUUGAACUCGCUGUGAAGAUGCAGUGUACCCGCGGCAAGACGGAAAGACCCCGUGAACCUUUACUAUAGCUUGACACUGAACACUGGUCCUUGAUGUGCAGGAUAGGUGGGAGGCUUUGAAGUGUGGACGCCAGUCUGCAUGGAGCCAUCCUUGAAAUACCACCCUUUAAUGGCUGGUGUUCUAACGUGGGCCCGUGAACCGGGUUGCGGACAGUGUCUGGUGGGUAGUUUGACUGGGGCGGUCUCCUCCUAAAGAGUAACGGAGGAGCACGAAGGUUGGCUAAUCCUGGUCGGACAUCAGGAGGUUAGUGCAAUGGCAUAAGCCAGCUUGACUGCGAGCGUGACGGCGCGAGCAGGUGCGAAAGCAGGUCAUAGUGAUCCGGUGGUUCUGAAUGGAAGGGCCAUCGCUCAACGGAUAAAAGGUACUCCGGGGAUAACAGGCUGAUACCGCCCAAGAGUUCAUAUCGACGGCGGUGUUUGGCACCUCGAUGUCGGCUCAUCACAUCCUGGGGCUGAAGUAGGUCCCAAGGGUAUGGCUGUUCGCCAUUUAAAGUGGUACGCGAGCUGGGUUUAGAACGUCGUGAGACAGUUCGGUCCCUAUCUGCCGUGGGCGCUGGAAGAUUGAGGGGGGCUGCUCCUAGUACGAGAGGACCGGAGUGGACGCAUCACUGGUGUUCGGGUUGUCAUGCCAAUGGCAUUGCCCGGUAGCUACAUGCGGAAGAGAUAAGUGCUGAAAGCAUCUAAGCACGAAACUUGCCCCGAGAUGAAUCUUCCCUGAGCCUUUAAGGCUCCUGAAGGAACGUUGAAGACGACGACGUUGAUAGGCCGGGUGUGUAAGCGCAGCGAUGCGUUGAGCUAACCGGUACUAAUGAACCGUGAGGCUUAACCUUACAACGCCGAAG
rnacentral:rRNA from 2 species